rnacentral:rRNA from 1 species
GACGAACGCUGGCGGCGUGCUUAACACAUGCAAGUCGAACGGAAAGGCCCUGCUUGCAGGGUACUCGAGUGGCGAACGGGUGAGUAACACGUGGGUGAUCUGCCCUGCACUUCGGGAUAAGCCUGGGAAACUGGGUCUAAUACCGGAUAGGAGCCAUUUUUAGUGUGAUGGUUGGAAAGUUUUUUCGGUGUAGGAUGAGCUCGCGGCCUAUCAGCUUGUUGGUGGGGUAAUGGCCUACCAAGGCGGCGACGGGUAGCCGGCCUGAGAGGGUGGACGGCCACAUUGGGACUGAGAGACGGCCCAGACACCGACGGGAGGCAGCAGUGGGGAAGAUUGCACAAGGGGCGCAAGCCUGAUGCAGCGACGCCGCGGGGGGUAUGACGGCCUUCGGGUUGUAGACUCCUUUCGCUAGGGACGAAGCUUUUUGUGACGGUACCUAGAUAAGAAGCACCGGCUAACUACGUG